GAUGAACGCUGGCGGCGUGCCUAAUACAUGCAAGUCGAGCGAACAGACGAGGAGCUUGCUCCUCUGACGUUAGCGGCGGACGGGUGAGUAACACGUGGAUAACCUACCUAUAAGACUGGGAUAACUUCGGGAAACCGGAGCUAAUACCGGAUAAUAUAUUGAACCGCAUGGUUCAAUAGUGAAAGACGGUUUUGCUGUCACUUAUAGAUGGAUCCGCGCCGCAUUAGCUAGUUGGUAAGGUAACGGCUUACCAAGGCGACGAUGCGUAGCCGACCUGAGAGGGUGAUCGGACACACUGGAACUGAGACACGGUCCAGACUCCUACGGGAGGCAGCAGUAGGGAAUCUUCCGCAAUGGGCGAAAGCCUGACGGAGCAACGCCGCGUGAGUGAUGAAGGUCUUCGGAUCGUAAAACUCUGUUAUUAGGGAAGAACAAAUGUGUAAGUAACUAUGCACGUCUUGACGGUACCUAAUCAGAAAGCCACGGCUAACUACGU
rnacentral:rRNA from 1 species